GCCAGCGUAGCUCAGGGGUAGAGCAACUGAUUCGUAAUCAGUAGGUCGGAGGUUCAAAUCCUCUCGCUGGCU
rnacentral:tRNA from 1 species